AUGAGAGGUUUGUUUGUUUUUUGGUCCCACAGCUGGGGUGCUGCUGCGAAGGGUGAAAGUCUCAGGGAAGGAGAACAUAAAAGUGGAGUAGAGGGAAACAAUCCUAUAGUUGGGACCCUCCUUCCAGAUGAUGUCAUGAGAAACCCCAAGAGAACACCUACAGCGGGGAUGAAGCUCAGUGCGGGACCAGACGUUUGGCUGAAGCUCACCAAUAUCUCAUCUGACAGAAAGCAGCUCUGUUUUGUGAAGCAAGAACAUCCUUCCCAUUAAUGGCACUUUUUGAAAAAUUUCAGCGUUAGGCCGAACGUAUUGUGUUUUUCUUGAUUUAAAUUUUGUGAAAGAGAAGCAAAGAGAACUUUGACUUGUAUGCAACAGUAACCCAGAUAAGAAUUAUCAGGAACUUCAAACUAAAAGUAGACAAAUUAAAAAGUCACGUUACUGACGUAAUUCAGCGGCGCACACCAAAAUAUAUUAAGAUAUAAUUUAUGGCAUUUGUUUCUUGUAAUUUGAGUAACACAAAAGACAAAUAAUAACGAGAGACAAGGUGGGUGAGGUAAUACCUUUUAUUGGACCAACUUCUGUUGGUGAGAGAGACAAGCUUUCGUGUUUACACGGAUCUGUUCUUCAGGUCCUCGAGGAGUUGAAGAAGAACUCAGUAUAAAUUCAGAAGCUUCUCUAGUGAAAUCAUAUUUUAAGCAUAUUUUCCAUAAAGAAAUUUACUCUGUGAAAAAAUUGUCUUGUACUGCACCCAUCUGGGGUCUGGCUGAGCCCAUGUCUGUGAGCAGGCAGAUAUCCGUCCGAUGGAUCAACUGCUAUCAACUAGUUUCAUUGCCUAUUUUCAUGGGCAUUGGAGUGCGUGCACAAGCAGAAUGCUCUGAAGUUCACACAGCUAAAGAGAUGGUGCCACUUAAUUUCAUAGAUUCAUAGAUCUUAAGCUUAGGGACUCCUGGGAUCCUCUAAUCUGAUCCUGCAUAACACAGGCCAUAUGACUUCCCUGAGUUGAGUUGUCUUUGAAAUAGAGCAUAUCUUUUAGAAAAACAUCCAAUUUAAUAGCUCAUAAAUACAGAUCACACAUAUCCAGAGCCAACCCCUUUGGAUGGUACCCUAGCACUUUGCAAUACCCUUCCACACCUUGUGAACUCCUGGGUGAAAUAUUAAGAUAACCAUGUCAGAACACAAUGCUGAGAAUUCACGUUAGCCCCAUCAUUCCUUUUGGUAUUAAGUCUUUCGUGGCUUGCUUAGGGGAUUCAGAAGUCUCGUAUGAAAUGGGACGCAAGUAGCCUUUGUAACAAGUCUUUUAUUUAGGCUUCUAAGCGUGGCUUCUACUACAGGCCUCAUAGGCCUUUCAACAUAUACACUGUGCUGUGAUCUCUCAUGUUGAUAUUGUGCCAGUCACUGUCCUCUCUGCUUGUUCCCCCCAUCUUCUGACCGUCCUGCAGCCACUGCCAUUGGAAAGCAUCAAAAUCGAGAGUUGCUCUGCAAGUUAGAGCGACCGGUUGGACUCUAAUAAUGCGUAAAACCCAAUGGGCUUCAUUAUCCAUGUUUGGCAGGGGGUUAAGGAGACACACAGCCAGCAGAUAUGGUCACAACUGCCAUCAGGAGUGAAUGGGAGGAAGAGGUAUAACAAUACAUAUCAAAUGCUGAGGUAAAAGACGAAUAGAUGUUCCUGCCUCAUGCUAAAAGUGCAACCCACAAAUAAAAAUUCUCUAGGUUCACA
rnacentral:lncRNA from 1 species